CUUUUCUAAAGGUUCAGUUGAGAAGAGUGCAGCUCUGGUCCCAUAUGUGAAGGCAGAUCGAUGCUCCAAUUCUCACUCAUUCUCUCCAUCAACAAGUAGUUGAUUUUUUUCACUAUUAGGAAGCCAGCACACUUUAUUAAGGCGAACUUUGUUUUUUCAUUUUGUUCAGGACAGCACAGUUCAGUCUCAUAGACAUAAUGUAUACCCUUUCAGUCUAGAAGAUAUUUUCCUGCCUCCUUGUAAAACAAGAAAUGCAGAAUUAUUGGUCUACACUAGCCAUGAGUGUAUCUCUCUUAGACAUCUGGGACAGCAGCAUUUGAGCAAACUCCUUAAAUGUCUGUCUGGAGCAGAAGCCAGUCUUGAGAUAAAAGAGAUCGGAAGUGUAGCCAACACCGGUAACAACUGAUGAAGUAUCUAAAAGAAGCUAGAAGGGGGUCCAAAUAGAUUAGUCAUGAUUCUAUCCAUGAGCAGGAGGUAGAAUGGUGUUAUCCCCCAUAUCCUUGAUUAUUUAUUUAUUUAUUUAUUUUUGCACAGAGCAUUAUGAGGUCAUCUGCUGAUGGGAAAUAGAGUAGGAGAAGGAUUUGAGGGAAAUAAUAAAGGAGGAACAGUCAUUAAAGGGAAUGGAAGAAAAAACUGACCAGUGAUAGAGCAAAGAGUGACAGAGAGAGGUUAAAGGAUCAGUGUUAAGGAAGACUAUGGAUUUCUGUGGCUUCAACCUUUGUGGAUGGGUACUUUUCCCCAGCAGUGAUCAACAGGUCUGAUGGAGCUGAGAUAGUCAGUGUGCGA
rnacentral:lncRNA from 1 species